rnacentral:rRNA from 1 species
AAUAGAUACCCAGGUAGUCCACGCCGUAAACGAUGAGUGCUAAGUGUUAGAGGGUUUCCGCCCUUUAGUGCUGCAGCUAACGCAUUAAGCACUCCGCCUGGGGAGUACGGCCGCAAGGCUGAAACUCAAAGGAAUUGACGGGGGCCCGCACAAGCGGUGGAGCAUGUGGUUUAAUUCGAAGCAACGCGAAGAACCUUACCAGGUCUUGACAUCCUCUGCCAACCCUAGAGACAGGGUGUUCCCCUUCGGGGGACAGAGUGACAGGUGGUGCAUGGUUGUCGUCAGCUCGUGUCGUGAGAUGUUGGGUUAAGUCCCGCAACGAGCGCAACCCUUGACCUUAGUUGCCAGCAUUCAGUUGGGCACUCUAAGGUGACUGCCGGUGACAAACCGGAGGAAGGUGGGGAUGACGUCAAAUCAUCAUGCCCCUUAUGACCUGGGCUACACACGUGCUACAAUGGAUGGUACAAAGGGCUGCGAGACCGCGAGGUUAAGCCAAUCCCAUAAAAACCAUUCUCAGUUCGGAUUGCAGGCUG